GCGUCUCUCUCUGGUAGGCCCUGUCCGGAGCCGAGCGGCCCGCGCGCGGACGGAAAGCCGCAGGGGUCAGGCCGCGGCCUGCUGCAGCCCCGCGGUGCGCUCUGAGCUGCGGGGCGCCGACAGGUGACUGUCAACCCGGGCGGCGGGGACGGCUGGCGGAAGGGCGCGGGCGAGCUCCGGGGUAGAAGGAGGUGCAGGCUCGGGGGCGAAGCGGCGCUCGGGGAGUGGGAAAGCGUGCGGGAGGCGCCGUGGAGCUCUGCCACUCCAUGCCACACGUCCCCUGCCGGAGCCCACCCUGCUCCCCAGCUGGGAGAAAGCUGCCUUCGGAAGAAGGUCAAAGCGGCGUUCUAUAGCCUCCGCGGGGCCGCGGCGGGAAUUGCUGUCGUGCGGGACGUCAUUUAUCUGAAUCUGACUAUCUCGGGUCUGGAAUUGGAGACGGUGGUGAUGCUCCGGAAGAACUGCCCCAGACAGUACGAUCGUGGUCACUGCAGGCCUCCUUGUUACUCCAGGAAUGUCUGCUACCUCCAGAACUUGGGUUCCUGUGUGGUCUGGCCUUUCCAUCUAGCUCCAUCUGCUCUCCAGGAUGUGUACAGUCAGGCAGCCUGGGUUGAAGCUGGGCUGUUUCAGGUGUGUGUGCUUGAGUAAGUCACUUAACCUCUCUGAAUUGUUUGUUUCUUCCUGUGAGAUGGGUCAUAAUAAAGCUUGCAAGGUGGUGCAAUGCUCAACACUGCUGUUAGAGCCAAAGCACACCCAUCAGGAUGAGAGCAUUUAUUUAACAUGUUUAUCUAAACUUAAUAAUUCUGUGUUAUUUUCCCAGCCUCUCUAAUGAUAAAUCUUCGAGCUGCUUCUUAUUUUCCAACAUAGUAUUUCCACAUGGGAAUUAAUUAGUUGCAUGUCAGUAAAAUGUCUACAGCCAUGUUUCUUUAUGCCUUCUUGAGGUCCUGCUGUACAGUGUUUGAGUUGAAGUGUGCUCUGUAGGCACUGCUUUAAAAGACUUGGGUUCCUCCAGCAGAGCAUUCCAUAAGGACCUCCACACAGCCUCUGUGUCUUCCUGCUGACUGCUCUGCCCACUCUGCUUAGAAUCCUAGUGAUUGACUUUCACCUAAACAGCUCCUGCAGCUCCAGCAAAAUCCCAUGAAAGAGCCACCUUCUCAGUCCUUCCUACAGAGCCCAAAGCAGGAGUGACUUCUGAGAAGCCAGUCAACACAGUCUCAGUCACCGGCUCCUGGACUUUGGUCUGGCACUGGCAUCUUUUCUUGGCUAAUUCAUAGGACUUGGCAUUCACCUGUGGACACUUGGGACAGCCAGCUUUUGCCUUAGAGGAUUAAGUAGCACCAUUUAGAGCUGACUUAGAACUGUAUUUUUUUUUUUAAUCUCAUAAGCUGGGCUUAGAGCGUCUUUCAUAAAUCAGGAAUGUUUCUUGGAAAUGUGGUUCUCACUGAAGUCUGUCCCGUGUUCUUUUCUUGUUUGUUCUGUAGUAACAAAUGCUUUUGACUGUAAUAGCAUCAAUAGAAACAUGAUUGACAAGAAAAUGUGUCAAUUUGUUUCAGUCCAUUUCAGUGCAUAAAUAGUUUUAUUAAACAAGACAAUGCUAGGGAAAUCUUUAUUACAUUUUAAAGCAAAAUGAUGCAGUUGAACAAUAAAGCUGAAGGGAGUCUCUGUUAAAGAAAACAAAGAGUUGGUGUGAUGGUACACAUCCUUUUGAGUUUGUGGUUCAAGGCCAGCCCUAGUGACUGCUGGCCUUGAACCGCAAACAUUCAUACUGCUCUGAGUGGGAAAAGAACAGAUUUUGAGCUGUGGCUCACGUGAUCAAAGUGAUCCUGUGUGAGUCAGUGAGUUGUACUCUAUGACAGGAUUAACUAUUGUGCUUUUGACGUCUUUGAGAUCUAUUUGAACAAUGAAUAGCUUACUACUUCUUCCUGAACCCUUCACCAGGAAGCACUAGAGACUGCAGUGCUAUUCUCGAUGGGGCUGAGCAGGCUGGGCCUGGCCUGGUAAAGUAAGUGACCCAAGGUUGGAGGGUUGCCCUGGGGCCACUGUGCCACAGUCAGGAGAGUAGUCCUGCCAGUGUUAAGCCUGUCUGUUUUAUCGUCCGUUGUUGGGUGUACAGUGCUGAGGGAAUCAAGACUGAGGAAUUCUUGUAGUUUUUCACAUUUGUAAACCACCGGUUGAAUGUAGUUCAUGAGAGUUUUCCCCCUAAUAUUGAGAUGAGCUAUGCAAAAUCAAGUGAAGUUGCUUUCCAACUUUAAUUUUUAGAUACAAAUUAAGUUUUAGCCCUGAUAACUAUGCUGGGUCCAAGCUUAUGAAUAGUGAACCCUUGUUUAAAAUGUUAAGUAUACACUGAGGUCUUAGUAAUGGUCAUUUAAGAAUCUGAUACAUCCCCCCAGGAUGGUCUUGCCUUAAACACCUGGGUUCCCUUGUCCAGCCUCAGAAGUAGAUGGGGCUACAGGCCUACAGCCUUUAUCCCCCCCCACCCCGAGGACAUUUUUUAUGUUUAUUUUUAAAUUGUUUAUUAUAUUUAUUCACUUUAUUUUAUGUACAUGUAUGUCUGAGCAUGCACCACAUGCAUGCCUGGUGCCUGUGGAGGUCAGAAGACAUGAGAUUCCCCGGAACUAGUUACAGAUGGUUGUGAGCUGACAUAUGGGCGCUGGGAAUCAAACAGGGGUACUUUGCAAGAGCAGCCAGUGCUUUUAACCAGGCUCUUCCCCAGCCAGUGAUUUUUGUUUGUUUGUUAUUUUUGUUUUGUUUUUUAAGGGUUUUUCUGUGUAGCCUUUGGAGUUUCCUGGAACUCACUGUAGACCAGGCCAGCCUCAAUAGAGAUCCACCUGCCUCUGCUUCCUGAGUGCUGGGAUUAAAGGUGUGCACCACCACUGCCAGGCUGAGUGUUUUUUUUUUUUUUUUUUAAAGAAAUGUCCUAGGGUGGUUUUUGUGUGACUUUUUGUUCUUCCUCUGGUACUGAUCAUCCUUCGUGAGAGUGAGAUGCAGUUCUGGCCUCUGCAGAGUGGGUCCCACAGCCCCUCCACAUGUUACUCAAGCUUUUCUGUGCAGAGGCUGGCACUGAAAGCAGUUCCCUCCCAGUCAGAUUGUGGUGCCUGCCUGGGGCUUCCUGCAGGUUAUUUCCUUAUCUGCAGUGAUGUGGAGCUUUGUACUUAAUCUAGAGCCUGGGAGCAGAUUCCUCUACAUCUGAACUGAAGUUGCUAUUAACUGGAAGUGCUCAUACUGACCUCCAACACAUGGUGCACCCCGUGUUUAUCCAGUGAUGGCGUACAGCAUGCACUUGGUACCUUUAAGUUUUGCUUCCACACGCACUUAGGCAUAAGAUAAAUCUGUACUGUGUGGUUGAUGGAAAUUGCAUCCUCUGUUCUUUUUAUUAAUCAGUGUCAGGGGUUGGAGAGAUGCUUCAGUAGUUAAGAGCACUUACUGCUCUUGCAAAGAACUGGGUUUGGUUCCCAGCACCCACAUGUGGUGGGUCACAAUCAUCUGUAACUCCAGCUCCAGGGGAUCAGGCACACACUUGGUGCACAUACAUAAAUGAAGGCAAAACAUCCAUACACAUAAAAUAAAAAUUAAACCUUGAAUGUUAAGACAAACAUGCAAAUAGUGUCAGGUAGGCCAGUGAUUGCUUAGCAGGUAAAGGCACUUGAGUUUGCUCCCCAGGACUCCCACGAUCAGAAGGGAGAACCAACUUCUGCAAAGUAAUCCUUACACACACACACACACACACACACACACACACACACACACACACACGUAAUAAUAGUAAUUUACAGACUAAUAUCAAGCUGGGUGGUGGUGGUGCAUGCUUUUAAUCCCAGUACUCAGGAGGCAGAGGCAGGUGGUUCCCUGAGUUCAAGGCCAGCCUGGUCUACAGAGAGAGUUCUAGGACAGCCAUGACUAUGCAGAGAAAUCCUGUCUUGAAAAGCCAAAACAGCAGCAACAAAAAAAAACCCAGAUGACCAGUUAAGAAACUACCCCCCCCCCCCCCAAAAGAGGUAUUUCUUUGCUCAUUACUGACACGCUUUCGGGCACCAAACUCACCUCAGCCUGCACGGUUAGAAUGAUUUGGAAUAAUACCUUUGAGAGAAUUGAUGGCAAUUCUUUUUCCUCUCCUAAAGAAAUGGCUGCAGAAAACUUGGGCUCUGGGCCUAAUGUCGAUUCCAUAAGGCUCCUCUGUUGUUUUUCCCCUGUCCCUCUGCCAUGCGGAGAUGUGUGCUGAUAAGCCACCCGCUCUGUACCUGAGGGUUCUUUGUCAUUUCAGACAGCAUGGGCUUUUGAGAAUGCCCGAGCCGGGAGGCCAAGUUAUAUAAACUGCAUUCAUAGUUAAAUAUUUGCUUCCAGGGGGAGGUGAAAAAUGCUUUGUACUUUUUCCUCCAAAAGAGCUUGUCAUGCAACAACAAGAAAAAGUGGCCAACGGCAGAGAAGGCUCUUCUCUUUCCGUGUUGGUUUGUUUUUGUUGUAAGGCAAACCUUUCCUGUUGUAUUGUUCUAAAGCUUAAACCUGGCCUGGAGGUGCCAGUCUUGAGUGGAAGCAGCUGCAGAGCCGUCCGGGCCAGGUGGGACCGGCUUUGAAGCAGCAUGCUGCCUUUUCAAAGAGAACUGAACAGCCAGCCAGCGAGCGAGCGAGCGAGGGCUUGACUCUGUAGGGCUGUCAGCAUUCCACUGUUGUCAUCUCUGACUGCAGGUUCCAUAUUACAUGUGAAAAAGACAUGCGAUCCCUUUUCAUGUGCAGAGUAGUCUUGUUAGUGUGUAUCUUACAAAUACAGAAAUGGUGGGGGGAGUCACUGUUAACAAUUAACAAUGUAGCAGCCCCAUCUAAUUAAGACCACAGAGAAGGUUCCUUGAGAACUGGGUUUGGCUUGUCUGCCUGGGGUUUUUGAGCUUGGUUAAACUUUCAGAUAAGUGUAAUUGGCAGGAGCCAGCUGGCUGGUCUCAUAUCUGGACUCUUGAGAUGGAGGCUCUUGGUUGGUGUGGACAUGUCUCGUCUUUUGAUUGAGUGGUACUGGUAGCAGUGAGCUGAGCUUCACUUGUCUGCUGCUAGGAAGCAUUGGGCAUCAAAGAACUUUUCUUCCUCUGGGAAAAUGGAAGGGACAGGCAUGGAGUUAAAGGGACAAGAAAAUUGCCAAAAUGGUUUCCUCCGGGCUUUUGAUUCCCUUGCCAACAACUUGCCUCCAGAUGGAGACGCACAAAAUCCCCUAUUGUAGACUAGCCUGCUUUCACUGGCCUGCCUCUGUGAGCCAGUCUAAACCCUUUACCUCAUUCUCAGUACCCAUCUGCCGUACUACCCUCCAGCUGCAAGGGUGAGGCAAGUUGCCUUGAAACCGAACCUCCCACCGUUUCAACCAUGCAAGCAAUAGCAGGUUCCUGGGCUUGGUGUAGCAUGGCAGUGGCUUCCUUCCUCUGAAGUUCCUGGAGCAGUCCUGCCAGGUCGACUGUUGGGUGACACGUGUGGUAGGAGGGUUCUGGGAAGGAAUCUGAGCAAGCCCUGUGGCUUUGUGUGGGCUUGUUACUAGCCUGGUUGCCUAGCACUCUGGGCUGGUGCAUGGAGAACGUGGUUCAUGUUUGAACUGUUUCUUACUUCACUGCUUCUAGAAAUCUGGACACUCCAAUUUCCUUUGGAAGGUAGUAUUGGUGGGCUGAAAACAGAGGAGAAUCCUGUGUCUGGAUUACUGGGGACAGUGGCAAACUAAGACUGGCAGAAUUGGGCACACUUGACUAUUAUAAGCAAUAGGUUGUUCUGGGCAAGUUAUUUUCUACAUCUGGAAAACAAGGGUAUACCAUCAUAGUUUUAGUUUGUUUGUUGUUUUGAGAUUCAUCUGCCUCUGUCUCCCAAGUGCUGGGAUUAAAGUUAUGUGGCCACCACACACUUGAGCUUGCUAUAUAGCUAAGAAUGGCCUUGAAUUCCUGAUCCUUUUUUUUGUUGGUUUUUUUUUUUUUUUUUGAGACAGGGUUUCUCUGUAGUUUUGCGCCUUUCCUGGAACUCACUUUGUAGACCAGGCUGGCCUCGAACUCACAGAGAUCCUCCUGCCUCUGCCUCCCGAGUGCUGGGAUUAAAGGCGUGCGCCACCAUUGCCCGGCGAAUUCCUGAUCCUUUUGCCUCCCUUUCCCAUUGUUGGGAUUUGUACUAGCACGACUGAAAACAAAACUGUUCGUUUUAAAAGAAUUUUCUUGGGCUAGAGAAAUGGCUCAAUACUUAAAAACACUGACUGUUCUUGCGGGGGGUGGGGGUGGGGAGGUGGCGGCGUGUGUUCAGAUUCGAUUCCCUGCAUCCACAUGGCAUCUCACAACCAUCUGGAACUCCAGUUCCAGAAGAUCGAUCCAACACCCUCUUCUGGCACCAUGGACAAUAGCCACGCACAUGGUGCACAGACAUACCUGUAGGCAAAAUACUCAUACCAUAAAAUAAAAUGAAAAACUUUUCUUGGAAAGGAGGUGCUGGGUACUCAUGAGUAACAUUCAGCGUUAAUUCCCUUUCCUUUUCAUUAUGCCAGCCUCUGUUGGCUACUUACCAGACCAACCUUGGCAAACGACCUUCCCAUGAUUUUUUUGAAAUGGAAAUUGGGAUGGCAUUACUGAUUUUCAGAUACUGCAUUUUAAAGUUGGCACCAAAAUAGUUCAUAGUAUAGGGUGUAUUGGAUAGUGCCAUAGCUGAUUUUAGUUAGAAUUCACAUGGCAUAGAGGCCAGCUGUGUAUCCAGGGUGUCACCUGUGCGGCUGUAUUCUUAGAGACGCAUCCUUAGGUGGUUUCAUUGUUUGAUCAUGUUUUGUACUUAGGCAUGAACAGGGUAAGUCCGCACACCGAGGCAAGGUCCCGGUGACUGUGCUCCCAGGCUGCCAACCUCAGGAGCACAUUACUGUACUGCAUGCUGUGGUAGCUCUAACACUGUGGCAAGUGUCUGUGCCCAAAGCCACUUGUGAGUGUCAGAGCAGCACGGUGCAGACAGGUGGAAGUGCAGCAGUGCAGCUUGCUGUGGAGCAGCUGGACACCAACUGGAGCCGUCCCUGCAGACUUCACAGGUGUGCUGUGCUCAGACGACCCUUGUUUAAAGUGCUUUCUCAUCAACAGUGAAUUCACCUUAGCUCAUCUUCUUUUGGUGUUCUGUUGUU